rnacentral:rRNA from 1 species
CAGUCGAGGGGCAGCGGGGUUGUAGCAAUACAACUGCCGGCGACCGGCGCACGGGUGAGUAACACGUAUGUAACCUGCCCUCUGCAGGGGGAUAAGCGGAAGAAAUUCCGUCUAAUACCGCAUAAUACAAUUUGGAGACAUCUCCGGGUUGUCAAAGGAGUGAUCCGGCAGAGGAUGGACAUGCGGCGCAUUAGCUAGUCGGCGGGGUAACGGCCCACCGAGGCUACGAUGCGUAGGGGUUCUGAGAGGAAGGUCCCCCACACUGGUACUGAGACACGGACCAGACUCCUACGGGAGGCAGCAGUGAGGAAUAUUGGUCAAUGGGCGGAAGCCUGAACCAGCCAAGUCGCGUGAGGGAAGACGGUCCUAUGGAUUGUAAACCUCUUUUGCAGGGGAGCAAGGCGCGGUACGUGUACCGCGAAGGAGAGUACCCUGAGAAAAAGCAUCGGCUAACUCCGUGCCAGCAGCCGCGGUAAUACGGAGGAUGCGAGCGUUAUCCGGAUUUAUUGGGUUUAAAGGGUGCGCAGGCGGACUGUUAAGUCAGCGGUAAAAUGUCGGUGCUCAACACCGGCCGGCCGUUGAAACUGGCAGCCUUGAGUGAGCGAGAAGUAUGCGGAAUGCGUGGUGUAGCGGUGAAAUGCAUAGAUAUCACGCAGAACUCCGAUUGCGAAGGCAGCAUACCGGCGCUCAACUGACGCUCAGGCACGAAAGCGUGGGUAUCGAACAGGCUUAGAUACCCUGGUAGUCCACGCAGUAAACGAUGAAUGCUCACUGUCCGGGCCGUUUAAGGCCUGGGUGGUCAAGCGAAAGCGUUAAGCAUUCCACCUGGGGAGUA